CCUACGGGCGGCAGCAGUGGGGAAUAUUGCACAAUGGGGGGAACCCUGAUGCAGCAACGCCGCGUGGGUGAAGAAGUACUCCGGUAUGUAAAGCCCUGUCAGCAGGGAAGAAAAUGACGGUACCUGACCAAGAAGCCCCGGCUAACUACGUGCCAGCAGCCGCGGUAAUACGUAGGGGGCAAGCGUUAUCCGGAUUUACUGGGUGUAAAGGGAGCGUAGACGGCAAGGCAAGUCUGGCGUGAAAGCCCGGGGCCCAACCACGGGACUGCUUUGGAAACUGUGUUGCUGGAGUGCAGGAGGGGUAAGCGGAAUUCCUAGUGUAGCGGUGAAAUGCGUAGAUAUUAGGAGGAACACCGGUGGCGAAGGCGGCUUACUGGACUGUAACUGACGUUGAGGCUCGAAGGCGUGGGGAGCAAACAGGAUUAGAUACCCCUGUAGUC
rnacentral:rRNA from 1 species